CAAGGUAACCUGUCUGAUUAAUGGUGUUUGAAAUUUUGAAUCACGUAACACGUAGCAAUCGACCAAUCGUAGCAAGAACGCAGUCUCAACGAUCACUUUUUUGGACGUGGAUGCACAAAAUUAAAAUUACAAAUAUGUGGUCAUCGUUAUGUGAACUUUGGUGUCACAGCUCUUCAGGCUCUGCUCUCCACUCCAUGCUGUUUGGCGGAUUUGACGCCUGAGCCAGCCAUCGUAACAGCCAAGUUUUGCUUGUGCUGGACCUCCAGUCGUAUGAUUUGACUGAUGACCUGUCAUCAGCAACAUCACAGUAUCAUUGCUUAGAUAAACAGCAUCCUCUUUAAUUGGAGGAACUUCCAGUAUCGGCCGAGUUAAGGAUCUCUUCAAUUCACCUUUCUUUUCUUUUUGUCCUCGUGUACGCCCAUGUGAAUGUGGGUGUAUUCACGAGGACUCCCUUUUACCUAGAUCCCUCCUGGUGGAUUCAACUGGAGGGAACUUUCGGUGGUUGGAGCAACUUCUGGAUGCCUGGCUGUAUUUCCCAGGCUUCAAGAAGUCGUUGCUGAGUACGGAGUACGAUUAUUCCUGGGCCAUGCAGUUGGCCGAAACUGUUUCAUCUUGCUGUGUUUGUUUUUCUUAGUUAGGGUUCAUUAAAUAGCUCACGUGAAGAACCACUGCAGAUCAG